rnacentral:lncRNA from 1 species
AAUAUUUUUAGACCCCUAAAAUUUGUUUAGUAGUUUCAUAGUAUUAAUAAUUGGGGUAUAAGCCUUAUCAGUAUAUAUAAAAUUCUUUUAUUAAACUAGAGUUAGCAGCUGCGUUAACCCCGUGUGUACAUCUCGUCUACUAAUAAUCAGAUAGUAUAACAGAUAGUAUAACAGAUCAAAACAAAAGCUAUUAAAACAGACACAAGUCUUAUACACGCAGCCGCAGUUCGAAAGAAUUGGGGAACUAGGGUUUCGGAACAGGGGUUUCAAAAUCCAUGCUUGAAUCGCAGGUGAGGUCAUGAAUUAUGUGUAAUAUACAAUUGUUAUGCUUAUCUGUGUAUGUAUAUAUGGCUGUGAUUAUGGUUGACUGCUUGAAUCGGAGGCUGUUAAUAGUGAUGGAGGCUGGUGGGUUUCGUGGUUGUGAUUGACGGUGAAGCCACCGUUGGUUGGUCUGGGUUUAAGUAGAAGGGAAGGAGUUGGUUUGAUUGUUUUGUGGUGAUCGGGGAACGGACGGCUGGUGGUGGUCUGGAUCGUGGCCGGCUGGGCACCGCCGCUACCACGCCGGGAAAGAGAAGCAGCGGCAUAGCUGCACGCCGGACAGGCUACAGCCGCCAUGGCUGCUGACCAGGCGAGGAGAGGGAGAGAGAGAGAGAGAGAGAGAUGCCUCGGUCGUGGUGGUGGGCGGUGGAGUCCACCGGAGAUUUCUGCCGGAGGUGUGGCGGCAGGGAGACAGUUGAUUUUGGGGAAAAACAAAAACAAACAUUAAUUAUAUUUUUAUUAUUUUUAUUAUUGUUAUUGUUAAUAAAUGAUAACAAUAAUAUUAAUAAUAUUAAUAAAAUUAAUAUAUAUUUUUGAUUGUUAUAUGUAGUUGCAAGGUGUAUUAUUAUAAUACGGUAUGACGUGAUUAUAGUCAUAAAUUGUUGUUCCCGAUUCGUGUAUCGGUUUAUUAAUGUUAGAUAUCAUGUGUAGUUAUACAGUCUGGCAAGUUAGACGACAAAAAUUUGACUGUGUUAGACAAAUUUUGUGUUGAUUGUUGGGAUUGCUUUAUUACAAAGGAAGUGCUGUCCGAGUAUUAAUCUAUUAUUAAAAAUUGGAUUUAAAUUGAGAACCAGAUUUAGAUUAUAAUUCGGAUUCUAAUUAAGAUUUGGACAGAGAUUCUUGGAUUACCGGUUAUGAUUAUUUAUAAUUACUAAAGCAUGUCAAUCUCGUGAUACGUGACAAUGUGAUUACAUGUUUAAAUUAUGAAUAUUACGUGUAUAUAAUAAUUGAAAAAUAUUUAUAUACCAGGAAGGGUAGAAUUAGGUUUCGGUUCGAUUUCUUGAUUUAGACGACAAUCUGGUUUGUUCGUCAACUAAAUUAUUAUUUGGUUAUCAUAUAUAGUCGGCUGACUCGUUUAUGAAGGACGUUCAAGAACAGUUGAUUUGUGUUGUCCGAUUGUGUUGAGCCAGAUGCUAGAUGCCAAAGCAAUUUAGAGUUUUCGAGUAGCGUGACUGUGAUGUCACUAGUUGUGCUAUCAGAGGCAAGUUUUCUAAUUAUGACUUGUUCUUAUCACAAGUAAUAUUUUUGGUCUCUUCUAUUUAAAUAUGGUCAUUCAUAUUCAUAUUUUGUUAUGACCACUAGUAUUGCAUAUCCUAUAUUUAAAAAUACAAUAUUAUUAUUUAUCUCUUGUAACUACUGCAAGUAUUCUGUUCUACAUCUCUUCAUAAACAAUCAUGUUUUAUUUUCUUCACUCAAUAAACAUUUUGUGCUAUUGCACACAAGCAUUCUUGAUCUUUUGAAUGUUUUAUAAAACUUUAGUUGUUUUCAUUAUCUUAAAAAGGUGAGCUAAUUAAACUCUAAAAUUAUUUAUCUAAAGAUUUUCAAUUACUCUCUCUCCUAUAUUUGAACAUGUACUUUUCACGAGUAUAUUAGUUACAUGAAUUACAUUACACAAUUUUGAGGAUGAAAGCGGUUUUACUUGAAUCAUUAUUUUGACAUGUGUACACUCAACAUCAUGUCUACAAUAUUUUAUCAACUGUUGUUUUCUAUAAAUGUUUCCCCUGAAAAGAAUUUUUAUUUAAAUAUUCUGGAAAUGCUGAACCGUUAAUCUAACGGUUAGUAUUAUGAUUUUGAUAUAAAACAAGGUUGUCGAUUAUUUCGAUACCUUGCUUAUUUUGUGAUUGGAAGUACCCUCGGGGACCGUACGCCGGUCCAGUUACAAUUAAGGCCAUUGUGUGCCUUGGAUCCCUUAAAAUUUGGUGACAUGCUUCGUGCAUGAUCCGGUGCUAUCUCGCGACUGAUCAUCGGCUAUAGCAUAGCGUUAAAUUAUUCCAAUCCCUAAAAAUGUUGUGGAAGGUUUAUAUAUUAAUGCUACUCUUUAUUAGCAUUAAGUUUCAGAAAAGUUUUAUAAAUUAAAUUCGAAGUUCAUAUUGUCGCUGAAGCAUUUGUUGCUCAGUGAUAGUUAGAGCCAAGAAUGAAUUGAGAUCUUCUUAUUUAUUCAACUCAUCAUUGUCAUGUUGGUUUAGCAACUAAAUAUAUGGAAAUUUAGUCGAUAAUGAUGGACACUGAAUAUUUAGGGAUUUCUUGAACUGUGGUUUAUGAACAGUUGAUUAUCAAAAGUUAUUUUGAACUUCUCAAAUGAAUAAUUUUUGAAGUUCUUGCAAAGGUAUUAUUUUAUGAGAUUUGCUGCAAUGCAAAUCAAAAUGGUUUUACAGAUUUUGAAGUGAAUCAAUUAUUUGAUUCAAAAUGUUUCUCAUAGUUAGAAACUCUCUCUCCAGUUUGGAAUUGGAUUACAAAUGUUUUUAGUAGAAAUCCAUUACCUAUUGGAUUGGAAAAUUCCCCGCAUAUUAUGGAUUUAUCUUAUUAUGCUUCUAAAACUUAUCUUGCUGAGCCUUUCGCUCACCCUUGCUAUUAUUUCUAACGCUUUCAGUUAGAGAUUAAGAUGAUUCGAUUGUUGAGCUGCGCGUAAGAUUGAUGAUAUGCGAAAUUGCCAGUGAGAUGUCUGCAAGAAUAAUUCCGGUUAGAAUUGAAUUAUUUCAGUUUAGUUGUAUAAUAGAUUUAUUUAUUUGGUUAUCAGUUACUCUUCUUAUCGAGGUUUAACUGAUAAUGUAGUUUAAGUUGUCAUAAGAUUUGAAAUUUUGGUUUCUGAUUUCAGUGCUGUAACCUAUUAGCGAUCCUGUUUUUAGGGGGUCAAAGUGAUUUUGAUUUAAAUAUCUUUUAAAAUUUCCAGAUUUUUAAUAUCUUUUAAAAUUUCCAGAUUUUUAAUUAUCUGUUUUACCUUCUUCCGCAAAAUAUAGGUUUUUAAAUGAUUUUAUUUUAGUGGCACCAAAUCCAGACCCCGGAUUUUGGGGAUGUUACAUUUUUUACACCGGCUUUAUGUAAUAAAAUCCUGAUCUAAUAAGAUGCUUUUCCUGCAGUGAUUUGGGAAUAAAAGUAGUAGUAUGCAAUGCCAAUAUCGAACAAUAGCAUACGUACUGUUAAGAAACACAGCGGCCGAUAAACUUCAUUAAUUCAUAUAACAGCGAAAAUAUCAAUAUCUUUAUUUGUUUGUCUAGUGAGCACGCACUAAGAAUAAAAUUCUAUACAUUUAGCUCAUUUUAAUUAGUGUGUUUGUCCACCAUUAUUAAAAAGUAAGAGCAAAUCAAAAUGAGUGAAAUGCAUAGAACUUGAUAUUUAGCAUCUAUGCCCAUGGGCAAAUCAUAAAAAAAAACGUAUCUUUAUUAUUAGUUUCUUCUUUGUCUACACUUGACAUAAUCUGAAAUAUAUACACAAUCAUCACAAAUAUAUUAAUCUAUUGUUUUCAAGGUCUGCUGUAUUGAAAAAUAUAAAUUUAACCGAGAGUGCUGCAGAAUUAAGAAUGGGAAUUUUUAGAGUUCGCCCACAAUAGCGAAGAGCAGGGCCGGCUCAAUCAAAUUUGGGGCCCUAAGCAAAAUCUGAAAAUGAGGCCCAUACAUAUUUAUAUAUAAUUUUUUUGGUGUAAUAUAAAUUUAUUAUUAUAAAAUCCUUACCUCAAUGUUGGAUGUUGAAUGAUGAAGAUGAGAAAGGUACCAAAAAGGAUUACAACUGUUUAGUAUCUUACAUAUGAACUGAUGCACACAGUGAAAACUAAAAAGACAAACUGAAAGAGUAAUUUUUUAUUCUUAAUAUUUUAUCAUUUAUAUAAACAAAGAAAAAAAAACUAAGUAAUUUUAAUAUUGAUAAUUAACAUUUACUUUAAUAAACUUGAUAUUACAUUUAACUAGCAAAAUUAUUUAUGACACAUACUUGUCUUUAGACUUCUUUUACGUCUGUUACUAUUAUUUUUUGUAUUUGAUUCUAUACAUUUUGUACAUGAAAUAUAUUGAUAAAUGGAAUAAUAUUUUCAUCACAAUUAUCCGUGAUAUAUAUUUUAAUUUUUUUGAACAAAUAUUUAUAUAAAUAUGAUAAAUUUUAUUUAUAGAAACAUGAUAAAAUAAUUUAUAUUUCAAAAAUAUUUCAAUUAAAUGAUAAAUAAUUUAAUUAUUCUAAUUUUUAAAUAAUAAUUCAUUUUAUAUUAUUAAUUAAAUGUAUUAAAGAAAUUAGAAUUGUUUGAUAAAAUUUUGUUUUCAAUAAAUUUUUUAUUAAAACAAAUAUUAAUAUUUGUGUAUACAUAUAUAUAAAGGGAUUUUAAAUUUUUGGGGCCCUUUUUGGUUUGGGGGCCCUAAGCAACUGCUUAGUUUGCUUUAAGGUAGAGCCGGCCCUGGCGAAGAGCUUCUAUCUAGUCUUUGUAAUCAUGAUCUUGCUCACUAGUUCACAGAUCAGAGUCCAAUGUCGAGCGAUGAGAUCAACCAGGUCAAGAAGCUGGCUCGCUUGGCAUGACUCGGUACACUAGUGUAGCUUUCCAUGAUACCUUGAGUACUAUCUAGUGUUUUUUUUUUAUAUAAUUUGGGGUUUCUAACAUGUUGGGUUUAUAAGAAAUGGACAUGCUAGCUGGUUUAAGUUAUUAGCAGCUGAAUAUUGUGCAGAGUCUGCAAAUAUUUUUGGUCUUUUCUUAGUAAAUUGAUCUUUAAAUCAUGGCAGGUUCUAUAACAUUACAUGACUGGUCUCCUUCAUUAUAGUUCAUGUUUAAUUUUUCAAUUCUUUACAUUUCAAGACUUUCUGAACGUAGCAAACAUUUGUAUCAUAAAAAUAAUCUCACCUACAAUUUUUAUCCCCUUCAAAAAAGUUAUCAAUUAAAUUAUGGGAUUCCUCCACUUUAUCAGGUUUCUUUUAUUUUUUUUGCAUUAUUUUAUCUAUUUUCCUUUAAUUUCUUGUCCUAUUCCGAUUAAUAUACAAAAUUGGACGGGACUAAAGGAAUAUAUAAAAAAAAUAUAUAGUAUGAUAGUUGUACUUUAUUGUUUUCAACCCUUUGUUAUGUCAUUUAGAAAUCAUUCCCCUAUCAAUAUCAUCAGACCUGGAUAAAUGAUCCCAUACAUGAUUUCCUGUUUUUGACCUCCAAAUUACGGAUUCCAGUUGUCCAUUUCCUAGUUCGCACAUGUCUCUAUAAUAAUUUUAAAAUUCUCUCUCAAUUUUAAAAAUCUCUCAAUAUAAUCAUGAUAUUAUUCACUGGUUCAGAACUUAGCAUUGUCGACUCUAGCCUUUCAAUCACUUGAUAUGAAUGGGUGUGUCUUAUAUAUUCUUUUUAAACUAGUGUAAUUCAUGAUUUGAACUUCUGUCGAAUCAUAAUUCAAGAAUAGAGCAAGUUUAUUACUAUACAGUAGUAAUCUAUAGAAUUAUUGAAGAACUCGUACAACCCUGUAAAUACAGUUUAUUGUUUAAAAGGAAAUGCCGCAUCCUCUGCUCGUCCUCCAGCCAUGUGUGAUUACUCUCAUCAGUCAAGCCC